rnacentral:rRNA from 1 species
UACGUAGGGUGCAAGCGUUGUCCGGAAUUAUUGGGCGUAAAGAGCUCGUAGGCGGUUUGUCGCGUCUGCUGUGAAAAUCAGGGCCUAACCCUGGACCUGCAGUGGGUACGGGGCAGACUGGAGUGCGGUAGGGGAGAUCGGAAUUCCUGGUGUAGCGGUGAAAUGCGCAGAUAUCAGGAGGAACACCGGUGGCGAAGGCGGAUCUCUGGGCCGUAACUGACGCUGAGGAGCGAAAGCAUGGGGAGCGAACAGG